rnacentral:lncRNA from 1 species
CUCAAACUAUGAAAUACAUGACUUCUUAGUCUUCGCACUUUAAUUUAUUAUAAUUUUUGACUUAAAUUUUUAGAAUUAUCGUAAUUAAAUCUCAUAAUCCAAUUAAGUGAAUAAAUUUUAUAACGUAUCAUUGAUAUAAAAGUAGUGUGACAUCUUAAUUAUUAUCGUAUCAUUAAUUAUAAAACCAUUACAUCUUCUUCUUCUUUUACAUUAUUAAUAUAUUAAUAUUUAGUUAAUGAAAUUGGGAUAUAGGACUUGACCGUAAUAAUUUUAAAAGUUUGAGUAAAAAAAUUAUAAUAAACUAAAAUUUGAGUACCAAAAUGUCACCCUCCUCAUUGUUUGAAGACCAAAUUUGUAAUAUGUAAUAUAAUUUAAUAUAUAGGUAAAAAGAUUUUUUUUUUUUUGGUUAUAAUUGGUUUAGCUUACUGUCAUUCCAGGUCAAAGCGUAUAUGCUGAUUUACUGAAAAAAAAAAUGUCUAAAUUUUUAUUUUUUAUAGUCAAACAAAUAAUUUGAACUAAAGAAGUGCAAUUAAUUCAUUACCCAUUCAUUUCUUUAUUUUUAGAUUCAAUGCCUAUUCUCUAUAUUAUUUUAUGCUAGAAUUUAGAUUUUGAGUUACAUAAUCGGUAUCAGCGUGAAUAUCAGUUUCAGCAAUCUCUACAUAAUUCGAUAUUAAGCCUUAUUAUUUUUCUAGUGCAAUGUUAUAUUCACAAUUAUUUUUGGUUGUAAUCUUACAAUAUGUCCAUCCAAGGAUUAAAGUACCCAUCGGCACGGACCGUAUCCAACUUGCCGUACUGUGCCAGUAAGUUACCGGCACGAUACAGCCUUCGUAUCGAUGGUACAACUCAAAGUCCUCUAUUCUUAAAAUUACUAAGUAAUUUUAUUAUUAAAGUUCAAAAGAUUUGAUAAAAAUACAUAAUAAAUAAUUGACAUAUUUUAUUUGCUAAAGAAAAUAAAUAUUUCAUGUCUUUACGUGUUCGCGCACAUAAAUUUUUUGUGACUGGCACGCAUCGGCACGGUGCAGUACCAUGCCGGCAAGUUUUCGGCACGAUCUCGUGUCACGACACUUAAAUCUUUGUGUUCAUCCAUAAACUAAAAUUUUUUAACUUGUCUUUUCACUCCCUAUUUUUAAUAACAAUUUUUUUAAAAAAAUUAUUACAGUAGGGGGAUGGGUUUAAACACUUAGAUGGAGGAUUUGUAAACCUUAUUGUUGAAGAACUAACUUUUUUCGGAAAAGAUGUACUUGUUUCCUUUUAUUAUUAUUUUUAAUAAAACUUAAGUGAAUUAUGAUUCGUCAUUACACUAGAGUUAAGCUCCUACACUUUUAAAAAUACUGAAGCAUUUUGUGUUUAUAACUUUGUAACCAUCGGAUCGUCUCAAGAUCCGUAUAGUAUUAUUAACGAUAUAUCUCAUUUAAGUUUUUUUUAUUAAUACUAUAUGAAUCGUGAGGCAAUCCGAUGGCUAAAAAAUCACAAGCAAAUUGAGCUCCUCAGCUUUCAAAAACAUAGGAGCUCAACUCUCAUUUACUAUUACUUGAUUAAUUUUCUAUUACAAAUUUUGGAUCGUAUAUAUUAAAUGAGGUAUUGUAUAUAAUUAAGUCAUUUGAAAUAAAUAGUACAUUCAAAAUCUAAAUUGGAAGGGCAUAAUUAAAAAAAUCAGAUAGUAAAAUUAGAUUGUUAUUUCAAAAUGAAAUAUCUAAAAUUUUUAACUAUUUUGAUUUAGUUUUAUUAUUUUUCAAAAGGUCUUUUUAAACAAGUAUAAUCCAUAAGACAUAUUGUGCCCUGUGAGAUGAUAAAGAGUCAAAUUAGGAGAUAAUCAUAAUUUUGGAUUAAAAUGAUACUUUAAAAAAUAUGUACACGUCCCUAUCAUAUGUAUAACCUACGAUUUUAAAACUUAAAAAAAGAUAGAGAAAAAAAUAUGUACACGUCCCUAUUAUCUUUUUACUCUAUUUUGAAUGCUGAAUUGGAUUAGGACUUCGUUUGGAUGUGGGAUUGCGAGUACUCUUUAUUUUUUUGCUCUAUCUUGAACGUUGAAUUGAAUUAAGGCUUAGUUUGGUAUUGAGGCCUAUCAAACGUUAUUAAAUAAAAUAAAGUUGAGAAAAAAGCAUAAACGAAUAUGCUUUUGCGUUCUCCGUUGGGACCGCAGAAAAUAUAUCCCCGCACGUAACGUAAUCUCUUCGCAAUCCCAAACGAAGCCUAAGUCUUCCUUUAGAAUUGCGAAAGAUUGCGUUACGUGUGGAUAGAGAGUCGGUUAUGAUAUUUUUUUUAAUUUUUAUUUUAUCAAUAUUUUAUCUAUUAGCUUUGGAUGAGCUUCAAUAUCAAACAAAGCCAAAAUAAAAUUAUUUGGCCAAAUCAAUUUUUAAAGAACUUACUUGUCGAUCCGGCUCAAUAUAGGUUGGUUGAAUCCCUAAUCCGUCGUCCCCGCCCGCCCCCCCUCCUCCCUUUCCGUUCCGUCUCUGUGCAUAUUUCACUGCCGCGGCAGACGGACAUAAGGCGAGUGUAAUCGCAGAGGGAGGGAAGGGCAGACGGACUUAGGGAGAGAGGGAGAGAGAGGGAUGUCGUUCAUGCGGGGGGAUCUGCUGACGCGGAUGCGGAAGCUGGUGAAGGGCCUCGCCAGGCCCGCCCCUGCCUGGCUCAAAGCCAUGGAACAGUAACGCCCGCCUUCCUCUCUAAUUCUCGAUUUGUAAACAGAACAGACACACACACACAACUGGUUCUAGGGUUUUAUGACUGACUGCACCUCGGAUCACAAUCAGGGCGCCGCCUGUCACCUUCCCGCGGACCGACGGCAAGAUCAAGAGGAUCGAGCUGCCGGAGGACGUUUACAUCAAGCGCUUCUACAAGAAGCACCCCGAUUCCUUGUAUCACGACCCCGUCAAGUAAUCUCCUCCUCCUCUUCUUCUUCUUCUAUUGACGCCGUAGUUCGCAGACUUUAAUACGUUGCAAUUUCUGGUUCAAGCUUUCUGAAUUGUUGCUGAUGUGCUAGUAAUGUGGCAUUUUAUUAGUUCUGACGUUUUCAUUACAACACUGCCGACGCUGCUGCUGCCACGUUAGCGAUGCAUCAUUAUUUAACCAACUGAAUUAGACUGCGGCACUUCAUUGCAACAAUUCAAAAAAUUUGAGCCAGGAAUUGUAACAAAUUAAAGCCAUUUGAGGACUCAAGCGUACUCGUGCACCUCAAAAGUUUGAAGACCAAAAAUGCAAUUUAACCCUUUUCUUAUAUGCGUUGUUGUUUCUCAAAUUGCGAAUUUCUGCGAAUAUCCGAGAUUUUGCGUGUUGCAGUUGUUGAUUGAUAUUGUUUAUGUUACAGUUUUACUGGAUUUUUUUUUUUUUUUUUUUUUUUUUUGAGUUGUUUGUUUGCUCUUUGUUUGGAGAGAAUGUAAUGUCUUCAUCCUCAAUAUAAUUUACAAGGAGAAAAUUUUGUUAGUUUUGAAAUGGUUAAGUUGUUUGAGAUUUUGAAAAGCAAGGAUUGCUGGCGACAAGACUUUUUCCGCCGUUUGUUUCUUCUUUAUCUCUUAAUAGCGUGAUUUUGCUUUUUAUAUCCUCGCAUUGUUGCUAUUUAAUUUGUUUUCGUAAUCUAAACUCUAAUUGGAAUAUCGGAUAUCCAUUUUCAACAGGAUAAGUGGGUUCGAUCCGCCUCCUUCGCGAGUUUUCGCUUGGCGUGUGUUGGAGCUGAAAGGGCAGGGAGUCAACGAAGAUGAAGCUAUGGCUGUAGCUGAUGUUAGUAGCACGCGCCGUUCUAUACUAUAAAGCUAUCAUUUUAUUCACACUGCUCGCGCACCUUUCUCUAUACUAAGCACACCUUUCCGCUUUAACUUCAGAUGGAAUAUCUCGCCGAGAAGAGAGCGAAGAAGAAGGCGUACAAAGAACUGAAGCAAAUCGCACGCCUCCAGGGGAAGAAGCCGCCUCCGAACCCAUACCCAAGCGCCAUCAAAGAAAUACAGGCGGAGGAGAAGAAGUUUGUCAGAGAUCGUUUCUUCAAUCCGAAGGUGCUCGAGAUUGUGGAAAAGAUGAAAGAAGAGAAAGCUGCCAGGAUGCUAGAGCAACAGCGAGAAGCCGGCGGUGGUGGUCCGCCACGUAGUCGAGCUUGGUGAAUUCAAUCGUCUGGUAUUUGAACCGAACUGUUCUUUAAAUGCCUGAAAAUUUGAAUGAAAAUCAUGAGAUAUUUUCUAUGUUAUAUUUUUGCAAUAAAAGAAAUGUUGUUGCAUAGGGGAGUUCUUAUAUUAUUGUUUUCUAUUUAAACUUGGCAUGUACAAUGUAGCAUUCCAAUCUUCUUGUAUUAGUAAGCUAUGCGCAUGUCUAUCUAUGAAGCAUCGGAAUCAAUGACGUACAUGUUUGCCGCAAUAUUGAUAUAACAAACGAGACAAAUUUUAAAGUGUUGCUUGUGCGUAAUAGAUAGUAUCAAUUUAUUUGGGGGCAUGCACAAAUCUCGCUGUCCAACAGAAAUGUAACUUUUAGGUCGAUGAAAUCCUAUGAUUUCAAUGAUUUCGCCGACUUGACAGUUAAUUUCAGGGUAGACUUUUCUAGCUUACUAUCUGUCAUUGAUGGUUUCAAAUGCAACGACUGGCGUCUUCUUUACGAGUAACAUUAUUGUUAGUGAUGCCAACAAACAUUUGACAGUUCUGGAUAUAAUAGAUUGGCAGUCUGCAGUGAUUAUAUGGUUAUAAUAUUUUGCUAGCUUAAGAUCCAUAGAAAGCUUAGAAGAAGCAGCACAGCAGAUGAUGCUUAACCAAAAUGAGAAACUAGAGUCUUUUAACAAAGGACAUUAUGUUGGCAAGGGGAUUAAGAAGUUACAGAUGGUGCUACCAGGGCAUGCGACAUUAUUAUUUUUGAGAAAUUAGUGAAAAAGUAGGCAAGUGAUACCCUGGCAAAUGUUAAAUUUAUCAAUGUACGACCGAAGUUUCUAUACAACAUGAUUAAGCUAUCAACGACUAUGAUUUUUUUCUUUUAUUUUUGAUUUCGUUCGCAUAUCCCUGUGAUGAAAUGUUUAGUAAUCUGAACUUCAACCAAAACUGUGAAUGAAUGGUGCUCCCUCAUAAGCAUGCUUUUGAGGUUGAGGAACCAAGAUUUCACGAUUUGUGGAUAUCUGGCAUUCUGAGGGAUAUUUUUAAGUCUAGUAAGUAAUAAGUCUCUUAAUUUCCUCCAUUUUUUUGGCCUCUAUAUUGCUCGCUCUUCCUUUUUGUUUUUCUUUGCUUGAAGUUGUAUUCUAGUCUUUUUAUUGUCCGCUGCUUUAUCUAUUUGGGUUAAUUAGAAUUCCCUCUAACAUCUGUAUGCAUACAAUUUAAUCUUGUUGAACAUCUGCAGUGUACCAAACCAGAAUUGUUUUUUAUCAAAUUGGUGUACACCACCUAAGUUUUUCACCAUAAUGACCUUUUUUCUUCUAAUUGUUCAUUCUGGGAAGUACCCUUUUUCUGCGUGCAUACAAGGAAACAGCUGUAAUCCUCUUAUUCAUGUUUCUUAUGUCUCCGAGUUGCAAGUAAAUAGGUAAGGAAUGAGAACUCUUAUUAUUGUCUUCUUAGAACAUUAAUAAUUAAUUAAGGUGGCUAACGUGAUCAGAAAAGGCAGAACUUUCAUAUUAGUGAUACAAUAUGCACAAGAGUAUCUGAAGUAAAACAUGGGGGGUGGUAAGUUCAUCAAAGUGCAAUUCGUAUGUUGUUUCUUAACUCUCUACUGAUAAAAGUAAGUUUAAAGAAAAAGAUGAGAAAAAGCCUUUGUUCUGAAAGUUGCGCAUACUUCUCUCUGUUUCUUCAGAAAGCUGUUUUUUUCUUUUCUUUUUCCCAACAUCAGUUAUUCUAUUACUUGGAGUAUUGUGAAGUAAUGUAUAUUGAAUGUAUACAUUCUUUUAAAUUUACAAUUCCUGAAUAGUGAUUAUUGAGUUUGCCGCAUCAACUUGUCGGUGUAAUCUGAGUGAUAAUCCGGAUCCUGGACAAAUUUUAUGGUUGCUGUAUUUAUUUCCAACCAGCAAUUACAAUGCGAGCAAAAGUGGCACUGGGGACAGAAGAGAUUCAGUGAAGCAAUGUGGAUGUUUGUGGAAGUGCAAGAAUAUAUUCAGCCAGAAAUAUGUCUCUGAUGUACUUUUCCUUUUUGUCAGUUAUAUGUUGAAAACCAUUCCCUUUCAUUUAAAAAAAGAUGAAAUAUGAUCUUGUGAUUUCCUUAGAAUAAUUUUGAUACAACUGCAGCGAUAACUGCACGCAAGUUAGACAUAAAGCGUUAUCUUGUGGUUUCCUGCAAAGUAGGUAUUUGUGUGUGUCCUUGAAAACCUUACUUGUAUGUGUGCAAUGUGCAUGGUCAUAGAAAUUAGCAAACAUUUUGGAGGUAAAUGUCCAAAAACCAAUUUCAGUAGUGUAACUGUCCAAUUUCACAUAGUUGCAGGGAGUAUAUUUGCAGUAUAUGUAGUGGUGCAAAACAGUAGCUUACAAUAUUUGGUGGUGGGAAAUGAAUUUUAAGAGGUAGUUAGGUAGCUGGAUACAAGUGAUUGUGUUUAGGAGUUUUUGGACUACAACAAAAUUGUUGCUAGGGCUGGCAAUCCAGCUCGCUGCGCAUGAGUCAACUCGAAAUGAGCUCAAGAUCGAUCGCUUGUUUAAUAAACAAGAGCCGAACAUGAGUUAAAUUUUUCAGCUCGAAAUUUUAACAAGUCGAAAACUAGCUAGAGUCAACUCCCACGUGGUCAGCUUGAUAUAGUUCGAAUAUAUAUAUAUAUAUAUAUAUAUAGAGAGAGAGAGAGAGAGAGAGAGAGAUUAUAUUUUGUGAAUACCAAUUGUAUCCUAAUUUUCUUUUAACUUUCAUCAAGUAGUAGGGCUCGUGUUCGGCUUGCUAAUAAAUAAGCAGAGCAUUUUUUUUUUGUUUGGCUCGUUUAAUCGGCACCUCGACAGGUUGUUACUAUUAAAAGAAAAAAAAGAGGAAAAAAAACUGAUAUUAUUGCCGAAGGUGUAGGUCCUUGAAUUGUGCAUUAUGUGCAUGCAUUUCUUUUUUUCACAUUAACUCUGCUGCUGCAGUACAACAGGGGUAGCAAAUUUUAAUUAAUAAUCCCAACUUCCCACAAUCUUUGAUGCUUACAAGUUGCUGAUCAAGAAUUUUUGUGGCAUAAAGUAAAGUCGUGCUGGGUAUUUACCAGCACAGUACAGCAUAGCGUUUUGCUUAGCGUAUCAAUGUGUAUUGUUGACAAAUAUAACUGCGUAUAUACUUUGGUACAAAAUAUAUAUAUUUUUUGGCACCAAUAUAUUCUUAAUAAUUAAAAAAAAACAAAAGAAAAAAAAAUCAAUCAUUGGUUGAGCUCCGAUUCCCACCUUUGCUGUGUAAUCUGUAGGGUUCUGCCACAUAUCACCUCAUUGAGUUUUCAGCAAAAAUCAUGACAAGAAAACAAUUUAUAUGAACCUUGUUUACUAAAAAUUUGUCCAAAGAGUCUCAAAAUGCAACAUAAACUGUUGAAAAACUGUAGUUCUUUUACAAGCUUGGAUAAAUGAGGUAUAGCCAAUCACUAUAUACCUAAAGAAUAACUUACUCCCGAGGAGGGAAUUUGUGACCAUUAAAACAAAGAUUUCGAUAUAGAAAAGAAAUAUCAAUGAAACAAAACUAUGAUUGUGUUAGUAAUUCAACUAAUUUUGCUUCUGUCACUAAAUUUGAGGAAUCUAAACUGCGAACGGGUCGAUUUUAGACCUCCUCAACUGCUUUUGAGUCUGAACUGCUGACAGGCUUCUGCAAUCUUUCUACAACCGGAUAGCUUCGACGUUCCUUCCCCCCGGGUUUUGCCGAGGCGUUGCCGUACCAAACCAUUCCUAUAACAGCUAGGAUCAUGCCGAGAACUACGUGAAAGUUGAGACCCUCCUUUCCGAAGAAGGUGAAUCCGAGGAUCAACACGAGUAUCGUCUUCAUGUGACCUAUCACCUGGAAAGACACCGCCGAGAAUCGACCUAUGCAUAUGAAUUGGCUCAGGUUGGUUCCAACCGCUAUCGAGCAUGACGAGAUUAUGAAAAGCUGCAGAGCGGAAAGUAGAGAAUUUCGAUGAGACAAUAACUCGUAUAUAUUUUCUACCGUUCAGUCGUGAUUAAUCUUAGAAAGCCAAUGGUGUUCAUAUUAGUAAAAUCUCAUGUAAACGAGAAAACGAAGAAGCAGCACAUUACGUAACAAGAUUGCGAAGGUGUAGCAGCAUUUGUACUAUCUUUCGAUUUUCAAAUCAUCACAUACUUCUUAAAAUGCAGGGUCAGUAGUUACCACAGAAGGCACAGUGUAGUUGAACGCGUCCACCCGUUUGCUGGUCAACCAGAAAUCCAUGAAAGGCCCUACUAGCAGAAGAGAUGCUGCCUGGCCAGGAGCAGUGUGGCUCAAGAGGUUGAAGGACGUAAGCGAAUACUUCCGUUGAAGAAAAUGAACAUACUGCGUUGAAAAGCAAUAUUUAAAUUACAACACAACGGAGCAAUGCUAAAAGCUAGGAGGGCUUUUUCUUGUUGAGUAUUUGAUGCCGACUUAUUUCAUUCCACAGGCAGUGAAAAUUUCAAUUUACUUGUACCAAGCCACUGUAGCAUCUGAUUUUGCCACUUAGCGCUACACCCUUCAUUUAAACAACGAUAAAUUGUUUCUAAGUAAAAACUAUGUUUCUUGUGGUCAGGAACGGAACUUGCGAUAUACGAAGUAAGAAAAGAAAUCAAGGACUAAAGUACUUGAGUAAAAGCUUCAGAGAAUUAAGUCGCGAAAUUGGAAGAGCCUUUUGUAAACUUACAUAUUGUUGCAAAGAAGUGCUCCAAACUGCUAUAGUUGCUGCUAAUACACCUCUAGCAUUGACGCUCACGUCGGUGACCGUACAAACUGCAACACCUACGAGAACCACCACUAUACUGAGCUUUGUGUCCCGAGAAUAACGGACCUUAUCCAACAAAACUUCUAGGAGACAAGAUACUGGUAUCAUACAGAGCUUCGUUAUCUGGAGACCACGGAAUAGCACGGAAAUUUAAAAAAAAAAAAACUCAUCACUCAACCAAACUAUUAAGAAAUAGUGCAUAAGAUCCAUAAUCGACCUGAUAAAACCCCACGGAAUUCCACAUCAGACUGACGUUCAUGCCGACAAUUGACAAGUUCGCACAAAUGACGAACUUGAUGAGUUCAGGUACAGGUAAGUGGGAGGGCUGAACAAGUCCCAACCACCUUAGAACAAUUGUCAUAAUAGUCGUGGUUGCAAAAUGCAGGCCAGUUAGUGAUGUCGCUGUAAAACAUAAUCACGAAAACAGCACCAAAAUCAGGAAUGCUUUUUUGAAUGGAUCAAAAUCACACUUCUUAGCUGUAUCAGAUUAAUAAAAUU